AGUGGGGAAUAUUGGGCAAUGGGCGAAAGCCUGACCCAGCAAUGCCGUGUGGGCGAUGAAGUCCUUCGGGAUGUAAAGCCCUUUUAUGAGGGAAGAAACGUAAUGAGGUGAAUAAUCUCUUUAUCUGACGGUACCUCAUGAAUAAGCCCCGGCUAACUCCGUGCCAGCAGCCGCGGUAAUACGGAGGGGGCGAGCGUUGUUCGGAAUCACUGGGCGUAAAGGGCGCGUAGGCGGUCUUGCAAGUCAGGUGUGAAAUCCCCAGGCUUAACCUGGGAACUGCGCUUGAAACUGCAAGGCUUGAGACCGGGAGAGGAAAGUGGAAUUCCUGGUGUAGCGGUGAAAUGCGUAGAUAUCAGGAGGAACACCGGUGGCGAAGGCGGCUUUCUGGACCGGUUCUGACGCUGAAGCGCGAAAGCGUGGGGAGCAAACGGGAUUAGAUACCCCGGUAGUCCACGCUGUAAACGAUGAGCACUAGGUGUAGCGGGUAUCGACCCCUGCUGUGCCGCAGCAAACGCAUUAAGUGCUCCGCCUGGGGAGUACGGUCGCAAGACUGAAACUCAAAGGAAUUGACGGGGGCCCGCACAAGCGGUGGAGUAUGUGGUUUAAUUCGAAGCAACGCGAAGAACCUUACCAGAGUUUGACAUGUAUUUGACCGGCGCUCGAAAGACGCCUUCCCUUCGGGGCAGAUACACAGGUGCUGCAUGGCUGUCGUCAGCUCGUGUCGUGAGAUGUUGGGUUAAGUCCCGCAACGAGCGCAACCCUUACCCUUAGUUGCCAUCAGUUCGGCUGGGAACUCUAAGGGAACUGCCGGUGACAAGCCGGAGGAAGGUGGGGAUGACGUCAAGUCCUCAUGGCCCUUAUAUCCUGGGCUACACACGUACUACAAUGGCUGGUACAAAGAGCUGCAAAACUGUGAGGUUGAGCUAAUCUCAAAAAACCAGCCUCAAUUCAGAUUGAAGUCUGCAACUCGACUUCAUGAAGCUGGAAUCGCUAGUAAUCGCGGAUCAGAAUGCCGCGGUGAAUACGUUCCCGGGCCUUGUACACACCGCCCGUCACACCACGAAAGUUGGUUGCACUAGAAGUCGCUGGGCAAACCCGCAAGGGAUGCAGGCGCCCACGGUGUGAUCAAUGAUUGGGGUG
rnacentral:rRNA from 1 species